GACGAACGCUGGCGGCGUGCUUAACACAUGCAAGUCGAACGAAGUGGCGUACGGGUGAUUAACGCGUAAUCACCCUUCCCUUCAGAGGGGGACAACAGUUGGAAACGACUGCUCAUACCGCCUACUGACGGUGGGGAUUGCGUCUGAUUAGCUAGUUGGGGGGGUAACGGCCCACCAAGGCGAUGAUCAGUAGCCGGUCUGGGAGGAUGGACGGCAACAUUGGGACUGGGACACGGCCCAGACUCCUACGGGGGGCAGCAGGGGGGAAUCUUUCGAAAUGGAGGAAAGUCUGGCGGAGCAACGCCGCGUGAGUGGUGACGGCCUUCGGGUUGUAAAGCUCUGUUAAUCGGGACGCGGUACCGGAAUAGAAAGCCACGGCUAACUACGUGCCAGCAGCCGCGGUAAUUC
rnacentral:rRNA from 1 species